rnacentral:rRNA from 1 species
UACGGAGGGUGCAAGCGUUAUCCGGAUUUACUGGGUUUAAAGGGUGCGUAGGUGGGUAGGUAAGUCAGUGGUGAAAUCUUCGAGCUUAACUCGGAAACUGCCAUUGAUACUAUUUAUCUUGAAUACUUUGGAGGUAAGCGGAAUAUGUCAUGUAGCGGUGAAAUGCAUAGAUACCACCAAGAACCCCGAUUGCGUAGGCAGCUCGCUGAGCCGAAACUGACGCUGAGGCACGAAAGCGUGGGGAGCGAACAGG